rnacentral:rRNA from 1 species
AUGAAUGGCCCAUGGGUGGUCCUUGGGGAUUUUAAUGAUAUCUUAUACUCCCAUGAGAAAGAAGGAGGGGCUCCACGCCCAAAUCAAAUGAUGCAAAAUUUCAGAGAUGCGCUCGUGGAUUGCCAGCUAGAGGACAUGGGAUAUAAGGGCGAAAUUUUUACUUGGAGAAGGAGGAGACUGAGGGAAAGAUUAGACAAAGGUGUACGUAAUGGAGCGUUCCAUGCACUUUUUCCAAAUGCAACUAUCACCAAUGUUGAACACUCUAAAUCGGACCAUCUUCCUUUGGUCCUGGACUCGGAAGGUGAUAGUAAUGAUGUCCAACGUCCUCCUGACGGAACCCGUCGCUUUGAGGCAAGAUGA